AUGCAGACGAUUAAAAUCUUACCAGUGGCAGGUCCUGAUCCUGAAUGCCAGCGUGUAGAGUUGAUUAAGUCUUUACAGAAAGAAGCACGUUUGAGGGCUUCUGCUCACCAGGAGACAAUCCGUCUGCAGAACCAGGGGGUGCCAAGUGCCCCCUACCAGGACUCGAACAGUGAUGAGGAGGGUGAAGCCGUCGAAAACCACAACCAAGGGGAACGCGGAGAGGAAGGGGCCAGAAUCUAUUCUUCAGAGAGUGAUGAGGGACCAGAUGGAGAUGGGGCUCAAAGAUCACUGACAGCAAAGAAACUCACCACUGAUGAGAUGAACCCUCCAGAAAGAGGAAAGCAGGGAGUGAAGAGGAAGAGGAUGACUGAAGCAUAA
rnacentral:lncRNA from 1 species